GUGGGCUCAAAUUGCUCCCAAUCUAGGCCAUCCAGUAUCUUCGUAUCCAUACAUCCCAUAGGUGAAAUAUCCAAAGACAGUUUAUAUUCAAUAUUCAUGUGAAUCAAUGUGAUGGUUGUCGAAAUACAUAGAUGUAUAAUUAUAUAUAAGUAUAUCUUUUUUCUGUGACAUGUCUGGUCGUGCAAUGUUGUUACUGGAAAUUGCGUCUGGCUUGUGUUAUAUGUAUAUCUUUUUU
rnacentral:misc_RNA from 1 species